AUCAAUGUGAUCAAUCUUCCACCCCAAGUUGUGGUGACAGUUUCUUCUGUGAUGAAAGGCCAAGUGUGAAAAGGGAACUUGUUAACAUCUGGAAUAGAAAAUUGCAAGCUCAAGGGGAGUGCACAUGUACACGUGAUGGGGAGUUAAAAGAAGAAUUUGCACCAACAAAAAUUCAAAGUUUCUUAGAUUUUGGGAUAAAAUGGAGGGACUUCCAGAGAUUACAAACAGUGCUGGAACAGAGAAUCUUAAUAAUCAGUAUACUGUACUCAGUGUCACUUCUGGCGUCUUGCAUUUUGUUGGCGAUUCAAUGGUUCCUGAUACCAUUGAUAAAACUGCUC